CAGACAGCCAUCAAGUACUGUGCUAGGUAGGAGACAUUUGAGGUGGACAGGAAAGGAAAGGUGUUAGUGCUGGUGAGAAGAAGGUUUGGCAGAGCUCAGCUGCCCUCCAAAUUCUCUUCCUUGCUGCUUAAACAGAUCCUGACAAGUCCAAAGCAGCAACCUUGUGAACGUAAUCUAGUGGUGGGAGGAAUGAUUUCAGGAUUAAAGAAAGGAAGUAGAUGAAGGGAAGGAGAAAGUGAUGCCAACCGGUUUAGCUUCAUUGUCAAAGCUGUGUGAAACCCCAAAAGCAAACAGCUUCAUUCAGUGUAAUCGUGUUGGGUUUUAAAAGUUUUCCCAGUUUUACUGUUAACAGAGGUCGAGAUGGAUUCUCACCCGGUAUAAAUCAGCACAGACCCAAAGCAUGCAAUGGAGCUAUGCUGAUUUCCACCAGCCACAAAUCUGGACAAGGGAAAUUAAAUCCUUCCCUCAGCUACCCUAGU